rnacentral:tRNA from 1 species
GGGGUCGUAGUUCAGCCUGGUGAGAACGCUGGCCUGUCACGCCAGAGGUCGCGGGUUCAAUUCCCGUCGGCCCCGCCU